GGAAACCUUGUAUUAAAUACAAAUUUGUUGGAAGGAAAUAAAACUAUUGGUCAGCAGUCGAAUACAAAUAACUGGAGUCUCUUGAAGGCAAUAGAAUCACAGGUUCAAACCUCAAGUUUGCCGUGGAAGUUGUUUGACUUGGGAAGAUCCCUAUCAAUAACUGCAGUUUGGAUCAAAUUUUCCGAUGCGGCAUCGUACUUCAGUUUAUCAGACGCGAUACCAACAUGCUUUAUAAGUAACGACAAGUGGUGUUUUCUUCACUCAUGUGCACUCAAAUGUAUUUUUUUCCCAUAUUACAAAACUGACACAAGCACUUUACAGUUACUGCU